AUUUAAUGUAUAGGGACUAAU
rnacentral:miRNA from 1 species